CUUACCGUACAGGGUACAUUGUGCUACAGCUCGUUAACCUACAAGUCAUAUUUAUAGCUAGCUCGGUUAACUUAAAACGUCGACAUUAAAUAUGAAUUCCUCCGAAGAAAGUUUUAACAUUUUCCGGACCAACCGGGUGCCUUUUGAAGUAACCACGAGAAUUCCAAUGGAAAGACCAUGGAGACCAACUAUGCUAGUUCGCCCCAAGGACAAGAACGUGCCUCAGUGGCAGCACCCGCCGUCUCUUCCUGUGCGGUUCUACUCCCAGCACUCUGAGGACUACGUGUAUAAAAGCCUGGCUCCGAGACCACAUAGUCGUCCACAGCUGGAAAUGAGAUAGAUCUUAAGAAAAAAAACUGCGUCAAAAUUCUUAUGGACCGAAUAAUCAUGAAAAAUUAACCUCAAGCAGUUUUAUUUACAUUAUUUCUUAUAUUCACAUUGCGCUAGCACGCUCAGUACAUGUAUGUACAUUAAACGUGCACAGGAGUACAAAAAACAAAACCUGGGCUCGGGAAUUGCGGUUGUGGACAGUGCACCCUCAUUUCGAAACGUUAAAGUAUUCAAAGUGAAAAAAAAAACACAUCUUUGAACUUGAUUUCUCUGAUAUUAUAAAAAAAAAGAGCUUUCUUUGUUCGUGAAUUCCUCGAGAUCAAAUUUCUGCAUCAUGGUAGCACUUCUUUUGUGGGGUGACAUCUGGAUUGUUCAUUUUUCAAAAUUUGCAGUCUAAAAUACAAUUGGUUCAAAUUAGCUUGAAGAGAAAACCUGAAGUAUUAAGGAACAAAUUUUAUUUACAAUACAAUAGUCUAACAACAACGUUAUCUGUCGGCAGAUGGUUGCCUACGUUACUCCAUACAUCUCUUUCAGAUCUUGUUCAUCAGAGUAUUACGCAAUAUAGUCACUUGUAACCGUUUGAA